GAUGAACGCUGGCGGCGUGCCUAAUACGUGCAAGUCGAACGCAUAGCGAAAGGUGCUUGCACCUUUCAAGUGAGUGGCGAAAGGGUGAGUAACACGUGGACAACCUGCCUCAAGGCUGGGGAUAACAUUUGGAAACAGAUGCUAAUACCGAAUAAAACUUAGUGUCGCAUGACACAAAGUUAAAAGGCGCUUCGGCGUCACCUAGAGAUGGAUCCGCGGUGCAUUAGUUAGUUGGUGGGGUAAAGGCCUACCAAGACAAUGAUGCAUAGCCGAGUUGAGAGACUGAUCGGCCACAUUAGGACUAAGACACGGCCCAAAAUCCUACGGGAGGCUGCAGUAGGGAAUCUUCCACAAUGGACGAAAGCCUGAUGGAGCAACGACGCGUGUAUGAUGAAGGCUUUCGGGUCGUAAAGCACUGUUGUAUGGGAAGAACAGCUAGAAUAGGAAAUGAUUUUAGUUUGACGGUACCAUACCAGAAAGGGACGGCUAAAUACGUG
rnacentral:rRNA from 1 species